rnacentral:rRNA from 1 species
CACGGGGGGAGCAAGCGUUGUUCGGAAUCACUGGGCGUAAAGGGCGUGUAGGCGGUUCGGCAAGUGAAAUGUGAAAUCCCUCGGCUCACCCGAGGAUCUGCAUCUCAAACUGCCGGACUAGAGUAUGGGAGAGGACAAGGGAAUUCCUGGUGUAGCGGUGAAAUGCGUAGAGAUCCGGAGGAACACCAGUGGCGAAGGCGACACGCUGGGCCGUACCUGACACUGAGGCGCGAUAGCAUGGGGAGCAAACAGG